CGGGGUAGCUCAUUGCCUAGGACUUUCGAGAUUGGGUCGGACCUUCAAGAUAUGAGUCGGGCAAGGAGCGGGGUAGCUCUUUGUCUAGGACACUUGAGAUAUGAGUUAGGCGGGAAAGGAGCGGGGUAGCUCUUCACCUCCUGGACUUGAGACCUUAGGCAAGAUUGGCCUAGUCGAUUGGAUAGUAACAUGAAUUGCAUAAGUGGAUUGCAUUCAUACCAUGAUUAGACAUAGUAGAUCGCAUAUCUAUGUUGUAGUUGUAUUCAUUACAUUGUUGAAGCAUACUAGCAUGAUAGUAGGUUAUUGCUAGAUGAUGUUCCAUGCAUUCUUUGCAUUUGAUGGCAUAGUAGAUAUAGUAGCAGUUAUUUCUAUCUAUCUUUCUAUCUAUCUAUCUGUGCCAGCUUGGACCUAGUGGGAAGAUCGGCGGAGUCGGCGGCCGAACCCACUGGAACUAUAUUUAUAUAGUUCUCACCCCGUGUGGUUUUGGGGUACAGGUACACACGAGAGCGGACCGGCAGAUGAUCGCGGCAAGGGCUUAGCGCCCUAGUGCUAGUUGGUAGAUGCUUUCCUAUUGCAUUACUUGUCACCCUAUAUACUUGAGAGUAGAUGAUGUAUAGGUGUGAGGCUAUUUUGGAAAAUGUAAACUUUAAGUUUAUG
rnacentral:lncRNA from 1 species